AGAAAGACAUAUUUUCUACAAUAACGAAUGAUGAUGUUAUUGAUCUAUUUAAGAAGAUGAAAGAUCGAGAAGGGAAGUUAUAAAAUAUAGUUGCAAAUGAAACGUUCCAAAGUCAUCUUUUUGCUUAUUAUUUAUGGAAUAUGUAAACAAGUGUUGUUCUAUGACUUCGCUCGGCCAAUACUCGGUAUGAGUUUUUUUAUGUAAUAAUAUCACGAGCUCAUUGCAUAUAUUUGCUCUUUA